CUGACCCGGAAGCGGAAAGCGGGGCCUGGCGCGGGCUGCUCUGGGUAACCUCCGCCUGCGGCUUGGCGGUUGCUUGGUAACCGCGCCCCUCCAUGGCUGUAGCCCAGGGACCAAAGACGCUCUGGGAGCAAAUCUGUGCUGAGUACGAUGCAGAGCAGCCUCCAUUUCCGUAUAGUCCUGAAACAAAACAAGAUUCUGUUUCUUUGGAUACAGGAAUUUUGCAGCCUUUACAUACAAAACAAUUAUACUCCGCUUCUACUGAAUGUUCCAUUGCCCCAAAAAUAUCUUCCUUACCCACGCUCGCACCGCUUCCAGCAGCACCUAAUCCAAAAACAUGUUCUCCUCGAGAAUAUUUGGAAUAUUACAUAUUUCCAAUACUUCUGCCGGGAAUGGCUGAACUUCUGCAUCAAGCAAAGAAGGAAAAGUGUUUUGAGAGAAAAAGGACCAAAUUUAUCGCCUGUGAUUUUCUGACUGAGUGGUUAUACAACCAGAAUCCAAAGAGGAAAGACGAGCCAUUCACAGAAUUCUUCUCCAUCCCUUUUGUGAAGGACUGGCUAAAGGACCACCCUAGACCACCAAUUCCUCUGUCUCUCCUAUUAUCAGAAGAAGAAGCAUGCAAAAUAAUUCAAUCAUUCUGGAGAGGUUAUCGGGUCCGCUGUGACACUGAGGUACAAGAACUGCGGCAAUGGCAAAAGCAACUGAGAGAGGACAAGAACAUUAUUAAAAGAGUGCAAGAGUUCUGGACUAAACAGGAAACCAAAGCAUGCCUUCCUGGGGCUAGCCCUUUCCAUUUUGCCAGAGCCAAACAGCUGUAGCCAUAAGGUAGCCAUUUUACAACUGGCUAUGGUUUGCUGCAUCUUCCUGUUUUCUACCUGUGGGAAGCAAAUUAGACUCAGAAGAACCUACACCAGAUCGUUCUGGAGUUUAGAUUUUGUUUCUUUCACCAACACCUCAAAAUACGGAGCUCCUGGACUGAGUUUUUUAUGGUUAUCUGAUUUGGAAAUUCUCCUAGAGUUACAUGCUUGCUUUAAUACGUGAAGUGUUGUACAUCAUGAUGGGCCACGUAAGGACCUGGUUCUGCAGUCAUUCAGCACAGCAUGGGCAAAAAUUCAGCCCUGGUGUAAGUGAACACUAUGAAAUCAGCGGAAUUGUGCCCACUUAUAACAAGAGCUGAGUUUGGCCAAAGGCUUCAUGCCCAGUCCUAAACACUCAGACAAAAGUUUCCAGCUAGAUAGAAAACUCCCAUUGAAUUAAACAGCGGUUCUGCCCAUACAAGACCUGGGUGUAAAAUGAAAGGGCAGAUUCUCAGCUGCUGUAAAUGGGCAUAUCUCCCUUGGCUUCAGUGGAGCUAUAAUAAUUUACACCAGCUAAGAAUCUACCCCAAGGGCCCAAACUGUCAGAUGUGCUGUGCAUCCACAACUCCAGCUGAAGUCAGCGAGAGCUAUGGUUGCUCAACUCUCCUUAAAAACAGUCUGAGGGCCUUGUGUUGUCAUGUGGCUGUGCCAAGAGAGUAGGAUACAUGAUUAGAGCAAAAUGGUAGCAGUUUAGACCCAUUUUUGCAUAGAUAACUACAGAAGGUGCAAAGCAAUGGGCAUGCAGGCCCUGAGUAAGGGCCUCACAGUUUGCCCCACUAUCUAUUUUGUUCCCCUAGUGGAUAUGUCAUCGGUGGGCCUUUUGCACCAGACUGAAUGUCACAUUUAGAAAAGCUAUUUACAGAGUUGACAAAUUUAAGUCUGACACAAAUCUCAUUGACUUAAAUGGUGCCUGAUAAGAUGUAUAGUCAAAACUACUAUUGGUACCAUUUCACCUAAUGUCACCAACUUGGUGGGAUACUCCACAGGCUAAUUCUGCCUCUACUAUCAGUAGGCUGUGGGGUAUUUAAAGAUUAAGGUAAACUAUAACUACAAGUUACCACAAACCUUGUAAGUAAAUAGUAAUGCCUUUAUUUUUUGUUAAGAACAGCAUUUUGAAAAUAAAACAUUUGCCCAUGCUUUACAACUUUUUUAAUUUUGUAUACUUAUAUACAGUCAUUAUGGUACACAUUGAUUGUCUUGAAAAUCCUUCAGAGGUGUACUUAAGAUAUCAGUAUGCAACAACCAGCGGGAAAAAAGGUACGUUAUAAAACACACAUUAAUACAUUUAAUAAAUAUAUAAUCUAUCAAAAAUGAGCAUUAGCUCUCCUCAAUUAAUAAAAAGCACCUGCUGGGUAAUCUUGUAAGCUGGUAGAAUAGUCCAAUUGUUUAAUUAUAAAAGUUACAGUGCUCCCUCUUGCACAGCCUUUGGUUAGACCCAAGGCAUCAAACUCAAACAUAGCCAACCAUGAUACCUGUCUGAUACUAAAUACAAACUAGCUAGCUCUGCAACAGUUGACAUCUACCUUAUUUAUAGAAACAACGGUGUGCACUUAGGGCUCCAUCCUAUAAGGUGCUAUACUUCUCUUGGGAGGUGGUAAGCACCUUCAACUUCCACCCCAGGUGGGACUGCCUCUUAAUGUAUGGCUGUGAACUGCUUUCUAGCCAUUGAAUAGAAGCCAUUUCCUACAGAAAUGUUUUCUGUAACAAAGUUUUAAAAUGUUUUAGGAUUUCAUUUUUCUGUAUCAGUAAGAGGCCAGAAGGAAAUAACCAUUAUUAAUUUUAAA